GAUGAACGCUGGCUACAGGCUUAACACAUGCAAGUCGAGGGGAAACGACGGGGAAGCUUGCUUCCCCGGGCGUCGACCGGCGCACGGGUGAGUAACGCGUAUCCAACCUGCCUCUGACUGAGGGAUAACCCGUCGAAAGUCGGCCUAAUACCUCAUGGUAUCGUCUGCGGGCAUCCAACGACGAUUAAAGAUUUCAUCGGUCAGGGAUGGGGAUGCGUCUGAUUAGCUUGUUGGCGGGGUAACGGCCCACCAAGGCUACGAUCAGUAGGGGUUCUGAGAGGAAGGUCCCCCACAUUGGAACCGAGACACGGUCCAAACUCCUACGGGAGGCAGCAGUGAGGAAUAGUGAUCAAUGGGCGAGAGCCUGAACCAGCCAAGUAGCGUGCAGGAAGACGGCCCUAUGGGUUGUAAACUGCUUUUAUGCGGGGAUAAAGUGAGGGACGUGUCCCUCAUUGCAGGUACCGCAUGAAUAAGGACCGGCUAAUUCCGUG
rnacentral:rRNA from 1 species